rnacentral:rRNA from 1 species
GCGGCGGACGGGUGAGUAAUGCCUAGGAAUCUGCCUGGUAGUGGGGGACAACGUUUCGAAAGGAACGCUAAUACCGCAUACGUCCUACGGGAGAAAGCAGGGGACCUUCGGGCCUUGCGCUAUCAGAUGAGCCUAGGUCGGAUUAGCUAGUUGGUGAGGUAAUGGCUCACCAAGGCGACGAUCCGUAACUGGUCUGAGAGGAUGAUCAGUCACACUGGAACUGAGACACGGUCCAGACUCCUACGGGAGGCAGCAGUGGGGAAUAUUGGACAAUGGGCGAAAGCCUGAUCCAGCCAUGCCGCGUGUGUGAAGAAGGUCUUCGGAUUGUAAAGCACUUUAAGUUGGGAGGAAGGGCAGUAACUUAAUACGUUGCUGUUUUGACGUUACCGACAGAAUAAGCACCGGCUAACUCUGUGCCAGCAGCCGCGGUAAUACAGAGGGUGCAAGCGUUAAUCGGAAUUACUGGGCGUAAAGCGCGCGUAGGUGGUUCGUUAAGUUGGAUGUGAAAUCCCCGGGCUCAACCUGGGAACUGCAUUCAAAACUGUCGAGCUAGAGUAUGGUAGAGGGUGGUGGAAUUUCCUGUGUAGCGGUGAAAUGCGUAGAUAUAGGAAGGAACACCAGUGGCGAAGGCGACCACCUGGACUGAUACUGACACUGAGG